GGUCACGGGGCUCUGGACCCGGACUAAACCCUGAACUGGUCGCCAGUCAAGCCACAGGGCACAUUUCGAGACGGAAAAGCAUUUGCAUUCACAUUCACAGUGGGAACUGAAUCUACACUCCACGCACCAAAGUCAGGCAAUGGCAGUGAGGGGAGGGGGCUGCUGAUUCCCAGAGGCUCAAAGGCAAACCGCAGUUCACCUUGCGGUCGACCACAGAUGCCAGUACCGCCCCUUUUGGCCCGUCAUGUUCACAUGUGGUCCUUCAUCUUUUUAACGUUCUGUCAAGGCUUUCUACAGAUCAAACAGAACAUGUCUGUGACCACAUUAAUUAAGAAGAAGCUCUUCCAGAGUUUGAGUCAGAGCUCAUCAAAUGGGGCUAAGGAAAAUGGUAUCAAAUGGCAUCAAAUGAUAAUCCUCCAGUUCAAUG